rnacentral:rRNA from 1 species
UGGGGAAUAUUGCGCAAUGGGGGGAACCCUGACGCAGCAACGCCGCGUGCAGGAAGAAGGUCUUCGGAUUGUAAACUGUUGUCGCAAGGGAAGAAGACAGUGACGGUACCUUGUGAGAAAGUCACGGCUAACUACGUGCCAGCAGCCGCGGUAAUACGUAGGUGACAAGCGUUGUCCGGAUUUACUGGGUGUAAAGGGCGCGUAGGCGGGAUAGCAAGUCAGUCGUGAAAUGCCGAGGCUUAACCUCGGAGCUGCGAUUGAAACUGUUAUUCUUGAGUAUCGGAGAGGAAAGCGGAAUUCCUAGUGUAGCGGUGAAAUGCGUAGAUAUUAGGAGGAACACCAGUGGCGAAGGCGGCCUGCUGGGCUUUUACUGACGCUGAGGCUCGAAAGUGUGGGGAGCAAACAGG